ACGAACGCUGGCGGCGUGCUUAACACCUGCAAGUCGAACGGAAAGGCCCCUUUGGGGGUACUCGCGUGGCGAACGGGUGAGUAACACGUGAGUAACCUGCCCUUGACUUCGGGAUAACUUCAGGAAACUGGGGCUAAUACCGGAUAGGAAUCCUUGCUGCAUGGUGGGGGUUGGAAAGCUUCGGCGGUUUUGGAUGGACUCGCGGCUUAUCAGCUUGUUGGUGGGGUAGUGGCUUACCAAGGCUUUGACGGGUAGCCGGCCUGAGAGGGCGACCGGCCACAUUGGGACUGAGAUACGGCCCAGACUCCUACGGGAGGCAGCAGUGGGGAAUAUUGCACAAUGGGCGGAAGCCUGAUGCAGCAACGCCGCGGGCGGGAUGACGGCCUUCGGGUUGGAAACCGCGUUCAGCAGGGGCGAAGCUUGUGGUGACGGUACCUGCAGAAGAAGCACCGGCUAACUACGUG
rnacentral:rRNA from 1 species